AGUAGUGUGGGUGGACGAGGACAGCGGGUGGAACUGGUCCUUCUGUGACUUUGCAGCCCCGGCUUGGUGAUAAUUUUUGUGCAGCCUUCUUGACAUGGAAAGCAGAGUUCCCCAGCACAGAAUGAGCGCUCCGAAGGGCUCCUGCCCUUACCGGAGCUGCCUGGCAAUGGUAGCAGGUGAAGGUCAUGGUGAAGAAGAUGCAGAUAUUGGCAAUUUGGAGCAUUAGAUGAACUAAUUACAACGUUAACCUAAGGAACAGUGCAACAGAAAAUGGGCUAAGACAUGGAGCAAGGGGCAGAACGACUCUUGAAGAUGCUGAGCAACUUCUG